UGCAGUAGGAUAGAAUUCGGAGGUAAUAUCCUAUUCUUGCUCCCAUUGACUGGCGUACUACUUAAUAUUAAGAAAUUCAUAACAUAUACAUAUUUUACAUUUUAUGUUCCAUUAAACCUUAAUUAUAUACAUUGUAAAAUUGUUUUUUUUAAUUGCAGGAAGAUUUAACUGUUGAAGCAACUAAUGAAAUUUUAGAUGAAUUGAAAAGUGGCGGUAAACCUGCACCAGGUCCAAGAAGCGGUAGAUUUGCUGCGGAGCCCAUAGGAGAACCAACCUCUUUAAAAGCUGAGCCCCCAGGUCCAGGAGUAGGUGUUAGAGCAGAUUUGUAAAUUUAUUUUAUUUAUAUAAAUAAACAAGAUAGUUAAUAUUGA
rnacentral:lncRNA from 1 species